UACGUAGGGAGCAAGCGUUGUUCGGAUUUACUGGGCGUAAAGGGCGCGUAGGCGGCGCAACAAGUCACUUGUGAAAUCUCCGGGCUUAACCCGGAGCGGUCAAGUGAUACUGUCGUGCUAGAGUGCGGAAGGGGCUACUGGAAUUCUCGGUGUAGCGGUGAAAUGCGUAGAUAUCGAGAGGAACACCUGCGGCGAAGGCGGGUAGCUGGGCCGACACUGACGCUGAUGCGCGAAAGCCAGGGGAGCGAACGGG
rnacentral:rRNA from 1 species